rnacentral:lncRNA from 1 species
AAAAUCCAUCACUAGGAUCAUUUAAAUUCAUCAUCAUUCUUCUCAAAAUUCUAGAAAAUCUUAGGAGGAAGAAAUAAUCUAGAGAGAGAAAGUAGAGAGAAAAAAUAGAGAGAGAAAGUCCAAUUAUAGAGAGAGAAAAUACUAGUUCAGGCUGAAGGGAGAGAGGGAAGAGAGAAAAACUCUCUUUCUCAUAUUUUAUUAUUUAUAUCAUUAUUUAUUUAUUUAUUUAAUUUUUUUCUUUUUUUUCUUUCUUCUUCUUUUUUUUUCUUCACAAGGG